rnacentral:rRNA from 1 species
UACAGAGGGUGCGAGCGUUGUCCGGAAUCACUGGGCGUAAAGGGCGCGUAGGCGGCCUGGCAAGUCGGGGGUGAAAGCUCGCGGCUCAACUGCGAGUCGGCCAACGAUACUGCGAGGCUCGAGUCGACUAGAGGCAGAUGGAAUUCCGGGUGUAGCGGUGAAAUGCGUAGAGAUCGGAAGGAACGUCAAUGGCGAAGGCAGCCACCUGGCAUCAUACUGACGCUGAGGCGCGAAAGCGUGGGGAGCGAACAGG